GACGGAGGGUGCUAGCGUUGUUCGGAAUUACUGGGCGUAAAGGGCGCGUAGGCGGCUGCUCAAGUCGGGUGUGAAAGCCCGGGGCUCAACCCCGGAACGGCACCCGAGACUGGGCGGCUCGAGACCGGGAGAGGUGGGUGGAAUACCCAGUGUAGAGGUGAAAUUCGUAGAUAUUGGGUGGAACACCGGUGGCGAAAGCGGCUCACUGGCCCGGUUCUGACGCUGAGGCGCGAAAGCGUGGGGAGCGAACAGG
rnacentral:rRNA from 1 species